AACGAACGCUGGCGGCAUGCCUAACACAUGCAAGUCGAACGAGACCUUCGGGUCUAGUGGCGCACGGGUGCGUAACGCGUGGGAACCUGCCCUUAGGUUCGGAAUAACUCCCCGAAAGGGGUGCUAAUACCGGAUAAUGUCUUCGGACCAAAGAUUUAUCGCCUCUGGAUGGGCCCGCGUUGGGUUAGCUAGUUGGUAGGGUAAAAGCCUACCAAGGCGCCGAUCCAUAGCUGGUCUGAGGGGAUGAUCAGCCACACUGGGACUGAGACACGGCCCAGACUCCUACGGGAGGCAGCGGUGGGGAAUGUUGGAGAAUGGGCGAGAGCCUGAUCCAGCAAUGCCGGGUGAGUGAUGAAGGCCUUAGGGUUGUAAAGCUCUUUUACCCGGGAGGAUAAUGGCGGUACCGGGAGAAUAAGCGCCGGCUAACUCCGUG
rnacentral:rRNA from 1 species